CCCCCUCAAAGUUCCUGGCUCAGCUGGAUUUCCACUUGGACAACCUGGUGAAGUUGGUCAACAGAAGAGGAGAGCUUGGACUAAUACUGGAAAGAAUUGUGGCACAAAUGGAUAAUUGUGAAGAUGUUGAUGCUGGACGUGAGUGUGUCAAGGGAGUGUGUAUCUACAUGGGUGAAGACCCUGGCAUGCUUAUCCGGGAGUAUGUGGUAUGUACUUGUCUUUUUUCUUUUCUUUUUUUCGGACUUUCCACAGUGUGUCAUAUUACUUACUUGGCAUGAAAUGACUAACAUGGCUUCUUUUUUACAGGGCAUGGAAGAACGUGCCAUCAAUGAGACUGUUGAAGACACCACUGUUCGAAUUUAUCUUAAAGAGCAAGCUUCAGCAGAAGAACAAGAGUUGUCCUUGCAGGCAUCAGGGUGGCGAAGAAUUUGGAUAAUGUAGCAUUUGCUGUGAUAAUGCUAUUUGGACUCAUGUAUGCAUUAAACCUUGCCUACCCUGCUGACCUCCGCUACACCUUUGACGUUUUCCAGAAGGUUUUCAUGGAACUGGAUGGAGCUAAACUCUCUAAAGUUCUUGCUUUUAAAAACCAUCUGUUUCAUUGAGAAGUCAAAGACAGCACUUCUGCAAUUCUUUGCAGUUUUUCAUUUUGUGUUCAGUAACGUUAUACUGCUUAUGUUUUUAUUGCUUUCCCCUCAUGUGACUGCAAUGCAGGAAGAUUUUUCCUUUUGGUAUCAUGUUGUAAGAAAUUUUUACUGACGAUUUUUAGCAAUAUGUUCUGAGUCAACCUUAAUGUCCUGCUUACAUGUUUAAAAGGAAGAUUAAGAUUCAUGUAGGUGUUUGGUAUUAGUUAUGUAACAAUAUCAUUUAAGGCUCAACUUAGUUGAA
ensembl:lncRNA